UACGUAGGGUGCAAGCGUUAAUCGGAAUUACUGGGCGUAAAGCGUGCGCAGGCGGUUUUGUAAGUCUGUCGUGAAAGCCCCGGGCUCAACCUGGGAAUUGCGAUGGAGACUGCAAGGCUUGAAUCUGGCAGAGGGGGGUAGAAUUCCACGUGUAGCAGUGAAAUGCGUAGAGAUGUGGUGGAACACCGAUGGCGAAGGCAGCCCCCUGGGUCAAGAUUGACGCUCAUGCACGAAAGCGUGGGGAGCAAACAGG
rnacentral:rRNA from 1 species